UACAGAGGUCUCAAGCGUUGUUCGGAUUCAUUGGGCGUAAAGGGCGCGUAGGCGGCGGGUAAGUCGGGUGUGAAAUCUCAGAGCUCAACUCUGAAAAUGGCACUUGAUACUGCUCUGCUAGAGGACUGGAGAGGAGAUUGGAAUUCACGGUGUAGCAGUGAAAUGCGUAGAUAUCGUGAGGAAGACCGGUGGCGAAGGCGGAUCUCUGGACAGUUCCUGACGCUGAGGCGCGGAAAGGCCAGGGGAGCAAACGGG
rnacentral:rRNA from 1 species